GGAUGAACGCUGACAGAAUGCUUACCCCAUGCAAGUCUACUUGAAUUUGGGUUUUUUAACUUAGAUUUGGGUGGCGGACGGGUGAGUAACGCGUAAAGAACUUGCCUCACAGCUAGGGACAACAUUUGGAAACGAAUGCUAAUACCUGAUAUUAUGAUUAUAAGGCAUCUUAGAAUUAUGAAAGCUAUAUGCGCUGUGAGAGAGCUUUGCGUCCCAUUAGCUAGUUGGAGAGGUAACGGCUCACCAAGGCGAUGAUGGGUAGCCGGCCUGAGAGGGUGAACGGCCACAAGGGGACUGAGACACGGCCCUUACUCCUACGGGAGGCAGCAGUGGGGAAUAUUGGACAAUGGACCAAGAGUCUGAUCCAGCAAUUCUGUGUGCACGAUGACGUUUUUCGGAAUGUAAAGUGCUUUCAGUUGGGAAGAAAAAAAUGACGGUACCAACAGAAGAAGUGACGGCUAAAUACGUG
rnacentral:rRNA from 1 species